AUUGAACGCUGGCGGCAUGCCUUACACAUGCAAGUCGAGCGGCAGCGCGGGGGCAACCCUGGCGGCGAGCGGCGGACGGGUGAGUAAUACAUCGGAACGUGUCCUGUCGUGGGGAUAACCAGUCGAAAGACUGGCUAAUACCGCAUGAGAUCUCACGAUGAAAGCGGGGGACCCGAGGGUAACGUUCGGGGCCUCGCGCGAUUGGAGCGGCCGAUGUCGGAUUAGCUAGUUGGCGGGGUAAAAGCCCACCAAGGCGACGAUCCGUAGCUGGUUUGAGAGAACGACCAGCCACACUGGGACUGAGACACGGCCCAGACUCCUACGGGAGGCAGCAGUGGGGAAUUUUGGACAAUGGGGGCAACCCUGAUCCAGCCAUGCCGCGUGUGUGAAGAAGGCC
rnacentral:rRNA from 1 species